rnacentral:rRNA from 1 species
GACGAACCGUGCGAACGUUGUUCGGAUUCACUGGGCUUAAAGGGCGCGUAGGCGGUCGGCCAAGUCUGGGGUGAAAUCUUCGGCUCAACCGGAAAAGUGCCCCCGAUACUGGCCGUCUAGAGGGAGGUAGGGGCAUGUGGAACUUCCGGUGGAGCGGUGGAAAUGCGUAGAUAUCGGAAGGAACGCCGGUGGCGAAAGCGACGUGCUGGACCUCAUCUGACGCUGAGGCGCGAAAGCCAGGGAGCAAACGGG